rnacentral:ncRNA from 1 species
AGGAGCCGUAUACCGAACGGUACGUACGGUUCUGUGGAAGGUCGGCUGACCCAAUAAGGGUCAGCCUCCUAUCCGAU